GGGCCAGUGGCUCAGUUGGGAGAGCGCAUCCUUCGCAAGGAUGAGGUCGGCGGUUCGACUCCGCUCUGGUCCA
rfam:Candidate division TA06 bacterium 34_109 MPJ_scaffold_4, whole genome shotgun sequence.